GAGACAUUUCCCCAACCCACAGAAUGUACACCACCAAGAGCGAACCUUAAGGUAAACUAUGGACUUCGGGUGAUGACGAGGUGUCAGUGUAGGUUGAUGGAGUGUAACAGAUGUAUCACUGCAAAG